CUUAAUGACUUUUCAUUUUUCAGUAGUGUUAAGUACAUUCACAUGGUUGUGCAACCAAUCCCUAGAACUAUUUUUAUCUUGCAAACCUGAAACUCCAUACACGUUAAACACCAACUCCCCAUUUCUCUGUCCCACGGCCACCAUUCUGCUUUCUGUCCCUGUGAGUUUGACUAUUCUGGCAACCUCAGGUACGAGAAAUCAUAUAGUAUUUGUCUUUUGGCGACUGCGUUAUUUCACUGAGCAUAAUACCCUCCAGGUGCAGAAGCAAUAUUUUAACUCUUAUUUACUUCUGUUUUAACAAGAUCACAGGCCUCUAGGCUGUGGGGUUCCCUGAGGCGUGGAUCCAUUGAGAAUGAUGAUAGGAUAUACCACGCUGUGAUCUGGCUCGUGAUUUUGUUGCUGCCACGAGAUAGUUAGGAAAUGCACACGUGUCCGAUGUCCAGCUCAGGGACUGCUCUGGUUUACAUAGCCUUUCCUCCAAGACAAGGGUUACUUACAAAGCAUGGCUGCCCCUUCCCUGAAUGGAUCCCUAAGCUUGAAAGGCUAUGUUUGGGUCUACUAUAGGAAAUAUCAGAGUAUAGAGAUCACUAAUAAAAUCGAUCUAUUAAUUAAUUAGGUCAUCCGUAGAAGGCAUCUUUACUGAGCAUGGUAGGUAUCUACCACAGGCAAAGCCAUUACGUCAGGUACCAAAAAGAAUAAGGCAUGAUCCUUGCACUGAGAAACUGGAAAUCUCAUUGAGAGAGAGGUAAACACAAUAAAAAAACAUCAGGUAUAUGUUGUA